AAAAGACUGAACACUAUGAAAUACAAAAACAAUAAAGUGAAUAUAAACGAACCGAAACAGUCCCGUGUGGCACAAACACUGACACAGGAAACAAACACCCACAAACCAUCAGUGAAACCCAGGCUACCUAAGUAUGAUUCUCAAUCAGAGACAACUAACGACACCUGCCUCUGAUUGAGAACCAUACUAGGCCGAAACAGAAACCAAACAUAGAAACAAAAACAUAGACUGCCCACCCCAACUCACACCCUGACCAUACUAAAUAAAGACAAAAACAAAGGAAAUAAAGGUCAGAACGUGACAAAAGGUCUAAGGCCUCAAGACAUGGUAAGUGUUAUGUACAUAUUUAGUUGUGUGUCUGUUUACGCAUGAAAAGUGUAACUAUUUUUUCUAAAUAGAUAACAUGAGGCAGCCAAGACUGGCAUAUGUUAAUUGUAUAUUAUUGUCAUCAAAGUCAUGGACAUGGACCUUCCCGGAAGAGGUGACCAAAUUGCAGCUAAUGGCGGGGAUGAGUAUCGCCCUAAAUAGAGCUUUACCCUGGGCCAUCUGACCCUAAAACAGUCUUUCCCCACCGGCCACCUUUUUUUACACCUUUUUCGUGAUAUCCAAUUGGUAGUUACAAUCUUGUCUCAUCGCUGCAACUCCCGUACAGACUCGGGAGAGGUAAAGGUCGAGAGCAGUGCGUUCUACAAAACACGACCCCGCCAAGCCGCAUUGCUUCUUGACACAAUGCUCACUUAACCCGGAAGCCAGCCGCACCAGUGUGUCAGAGGAAAUUUCACACACAUGGCAACCGUGUCGGCGUGCACUGCGCCUGGCCCACCAAAGGAGUCGCUAGAGCGCGAUGUGACAAAGACAACAAGGCCGGCCAAACCCUCCCCUAACCCGGACGACGCUGGGCCAAUUGUACGCUGUCUCAUGGGUCUCCCGGUCGUGGCCGACUGAGACACAGCCUGAGAUCAAACCAGGAUUUCUUCAACCUCAGGAGGCACCUAAAACCCUCAAACUUUAACAGAUGCAAAAUUGAGAGCAUCCUGUUGGGCUGUAUCACGGCAACUGCACCACCUGCAACCACAGAGCUCUCCAGAGGGUGGUGCGGUCUGACCAACGCAUCAUCGGGGGCAAACAACCUGCCCUCCAGGACACCUACAGCACCCGAUGUCACAGGAAGGCCAAAAAGAUCAACAUGGAAAACAACCACCCAAACCACUGCCUGUGCACCCCAAUGUCAUCCAGAAGGCGAGGUCAAACAGCGAUCUCAAGACCAUCAGACCGUAAAAUAGCCAUCACUAGCACAUUAGAGGCUGCUGCACUAUAUACAUAGACUUGAAAUCAUUACAAGUCACUUUAAUAGCAUUUACAUAUGUUGCAUUACUCAUCUCAUAUGUACAGUUGAAGUCAGAAGUUUACAUACACCUUAGCCAAAUACAUUUAAACUCAUUUUUUUUGCAAUUCCUGACAUUUAAUCCGAGUAAGAAUUCCAUGUUUUAGGUCAGUUAGGAUCACCACUUUAUUUUAAGAAUGUGAAAUGUCAGAAUAAUAGUAGAGAGCAUUAUUCAUUUCAGCUUUUAUUUCUUUCAUCACAUUCACAGUGGGUCAGAAGUUUACCUACACUCAAUUAGUAUUUGGUAGCAUUGCCUUGAAAUUGUUUAAAUUGUGUAAAAAAUGUUGCGUAGCCUUCCACAAGCUUCCCACAAUAAGUUGGGUGAAUUUUGGCCCAUUCCCCCUGACAGAACUGGUGUAACUGAGUCAGGUUUGUAGGCCUCCUUGCUCGCACACACUUUUUCAGUUCUGCCCACAAAUUUUCUAUAGGAUUGAGGUCAGGGCUUUGUGAUGACCACUCCAAUACCUUGACUUUGUUGUCCUUACGCCAUUUUACCACAACUUUGGAAGUAUGCUUGGGUUCAUUGUCCAUUUGGAAGAACCAUUUGUGAACAAACUUUAACUUCCAGACUGAUGUCUUGUGAUGUUGCUUCAAAAUAUCCACAUAAUUUUCCUUCUCAUGAAGCCAUCUAUUUUGUGAAGUGCACCUGUCCCUCCUGCAGCAAAGCACCCCGACAACAUGAUGCUGCCACCCUCGUGCUUCACGGUUGGGAUAGUGUUCUUCGGCUUGCACGCCUCACCCUUAAUUCUCCAAACAUAACGAUGAUCAUUAUGGCCAAACAGUUCUAUUCUUGUUUCAUCAGACCAGAAGACAUUUCUCCAAAAAGUAUGAUCUUUGUCCACAUAUGCAGUUGCAAACCGUAGUCUGUCUUUUGUUAUGGAGGUUUUGGAGCAGUGGCUUCUUUCUUGCUGAGCGGCCUUUCAGGUUAUGUCGAUAUAAAACUCGUUUUACUGUGGAUUUAUAUACUUUUGUACCUGUUUCCUCCAGGAUCUUCAUAAGGUCCUUUGUUGUUGUUCUGGGAUUGAUUUGCACUUUUCGCACCAAAUACGUUCAUCUCUAGGAGACAGAACGAAUCUCCUUCCUGAGCGGUAUGAUGACUGCGUCGUCCCAUGGCAUUCAUACUUGCAUAGUAUUGUUUGUACAGAUGAACGCAGUACCUUCAGGCAUUUCCCAAGGAUGAACCAGACUUGGAGGUCUACAAUUGUUUUUUCUGAGGCCUUGGCUGAUUUCUUUUGAUUUUCCCAUGAUGUCAAGCAAAUAGGCACUGAGUUUGAAAAUAGGCCUUGAAAUACAUACACAGGUACACCUCCAAUUGACUCAAAUUGUGUCAAUUAGCCUAUCAGAAGCUUCUAAAGCCUUGACAUCAUUUUCAGGAAUUUUCCAGGUAGUUUAAAGGCACAGUCAACUUAGUGUAUGUAAACUUCUGACCCACUGGACUUGUGAUACAGUGAAUUAUAAGUAAAAUAAUCUGUCUGUAAACAAUUGUUGGAAAAAUUACUUGUGUCAUGCACAAAGUAGAUGUCCUAAAAGACAAAUUUAUAGCCAAAAUGUAUAGUUUUAUAGUUUCUAUUUAUAUUUAUAGUUUGUUGACAAGAAAUGUGUGCAGUAGUUGAAAAACAAGUUUUAAUGACUCCAACCUAAGUGUAUGUAAAUGUAACGCUCUGACCGUAGAGAUCCUUUUAUUUUCUAUGUUUGUUUGGUCAGGGUGUGAAAGUCUAUGCUUACUGAUUCUUUGUUUUUGGCUGGGUAUGAUUCUCAAUCAGGGACAGUUGUCUAUCAUUGUCUCUGAUUGGGAAUCAUACUUAGGCAGCCUGUGUUCCUUUUCUCAUUUGUGGGUUGUUUUCUUAGUUUAAUGCAUGUAUAGCCUUACGUAGCUUCACAGUCGUUUUUGUUGUUUUGUUGGCGAUAUUUAAAAAUAAAGGAAAAUGUACCCUCACCACGCUGCACCUUGGUCCGGUCAUUUUCAAGAUGACGUUUGUGACAGUAAACUUCCGACUUCAACUGUAUUCUAUCCUAUUUUACUGUAUCUUAGUCUAUGCCGCUCUGACAUUGCUCGCACAAAUAUUUGUUUUCAAAAUUACAUUCCUUUAUUUUAUAUUUGUUUGUAUUGUGUGUAAUUUUCUGAAAUUCUUAGAUAUUACUUGUUAGAUAUUACUGCACUGUUUAAGCUAAAAACACACGUUUUUCGCUACACCCACAAUAAAAACUUGCCAAGCACGUAUGUGACAAAUAAAAUUUGAUUUGGAUCUGUAGUAACGCAGCUAGCACUGCAUUAGACCACUGCGCCACUAGGGAGACAUUUUGUUUUAACCCUAGACUGCCACACCUGAUUUAAUUAGUCAACUAAUUGAACCAUGUGUGCCAGUUAAGGGUUAAAACAAAAAUGUUCAACAUCUGGAGUGGCCCGAGGAGAGGUUUGGGAAACCCUGCCCUAAAGGAACUCCAAGGGAGAUCUCCCUUGGGGAAUUUCUUAGCAGACUUAUCAAGGCUAGGAUCGUAACACUACUUCCUCGGUUCAGAAAACACAACCUGUGCUUCUCUGCCUCAAAUCCCUCAUGCCUUAACAGGACAUGCUUUUGACCCUCAUACACUAUCCUACUGCUCAUCAGAGUAGCAAAUGGUAGGAGGGGGUAUUAACCAGAGGUGGACUUGAAGCCAGAUCGCUUGACCCUAAGGAAAUCAUGCUCAACACAACAACCCAAAGGAGAAAGAUCCUUAUCAAGGCUAGAGUCAUUUAACUUGUCAUGCAGCAUAUGACUACCUUGUUAGGACAUUUCUAGCUAGUACCAAAGGCAGUUGCAAUAUACUGACCAAUUUUAGCUGGCUCACUGGCUUUCAUUUCAAUGUGGGAUUAAAUACAAAGUAGUGCUAUAAAGCUUUCAAAUCCUCAGACCAAUUGACUCUAACCUAAGCCUUUGUCUUGCAUGCAUGAACUCUUAGGUUUCAUGUGAAAACAAAUACAACAUGUUAUAUUGGUCCCAAAAUAAGAAGAACCAAAGAUAAUUUGAAUUAAAACCACAUAGUUAUGCACACGUAAUUUAAUGACAUACCGUGGCUUGCGAAAGUAUUCACCCUCCUUGGCAUCUUUCAUUUUUGUUACCUUACAAUCUGGACUUAAAAUGGAUUUUUGUGUGGGUUGUGUCAUUUGAUUUACACAACAUUUAAGACAAAAAUAAGACAACAAAAAAACUGAAAAAUUGAGCAUGCAUAACUAUGCACCCCCCCAAAGUCAAUACUUUGUAGAGCCACCUUUUGCAGCAAUUACAGCUGCAAGUCUCUUGGGGUAUGUCUCUCUAAGCUUGGUACAUCUAGCCACUGGGAUUUGUGUCCAUUCUUCAAGGCAAAACUGCUCCAGCUCCUUCAAGUUGGAUGAGUUCCACUGGUGUACAGCAAUCUUUAAGUCAUACCACAGAUUCUCAAUUGGAUUGAGGUCUAGGCUUUGACUAGGCCAUUCCAAAACAUUUAAAAAUGUUUCCCCGCAAACCACCACUGCUUUAGCAGUAUGUUCAGGGUCAUUGUCCUGCUGGAAGGUGAACCUCUGAAACAGGUUUCCCUUCAAAAAUGUUCCUGUAUUUAGCGCCAUCCAUCAUUCCUUCAAUUCUGACCAGUUUCCCAGUCCCUGCUGAUGAAAAACAUCCCCCACAGCAUGAUUCUCGCACCACCAUGCUUCUGCCACCACCAUGGGAUAUGUUCUCAGGGUGAUAAGUGUUGGGUUUGCGCCAGACAUAGCAUUUUCAUUUGAUGGCCAAAAAGCUCAAUUUUAGUCUCAUCUGACCAGAGUACCUUCUUCCAUAUGUUUGGGGAGUGUCCCACAUGCCUUUGGCAAACACCAAACAUAUUUGCUUAUUUUUAUCUUAAAGCAAUGGCUUUUUUUCUGGCCACUAUUCCAAAAAGCCCAGCUCUGUGGAGUGUACUCCAAUCUCCGCUGUGGAGCUUUGCAUGUCCUUCAGGGUUAUCGUAGGUCUCUUUGUUGCCUCUCUGAUUAAUGCCCUCUUUGCCUGGUCCGUGAGUUUUGGUGGGCGGCCCUCUCUUGGCAGAUUUGAUGUGGUGCCAUAUUCUUUCCAUGUUUUAAUAAUGGAUUUAAUGGUGCUCCGUGGGAUGUUCGAAGUGUCUGAUAUUUUUUUAUUACCCAACCCUGAUCUGUACUUCUCCACAAUAUUUUCCCUGACCUGUUUGGAGAGCUCCUUGGUCUUCAUGGUGCAGCAUGCUUGGUGGUGCCCCUUGCUUAGUGGUGUUGCAGACUCUGGGGUCUUUCAGAACAGCUGUAAAUAUACUGAGAUCAUGUGACAUAUCAUGUGACACUUAGAUUGCACACAGAUGGACUUUAUUUAACUAAUUAUGUGGCUUCUGAAUGUAAUUGGUUGCACCAGAUCUUAUUUAGGGCCUUCAUAGCAAAGGGGGAAUACAAAUGCGCACACCACUUUCUGUUUACAUUUUUUAGAAUGUUUUUAAAACAGGUUAUUAUUGUCAUUUCACUUUACCAAUUUGGAAUAUUUUGUGUAUGUCCAUUGCAUGAAAUCCAAAUAAAAAUCCAUUUAAAUUACAGGUUGCAACGCAAUAAAAUAGGAAAAACGCCCAUAACGCCAAAAACACCAAAAUAGGAAAAACGGCCAUAACGCCAAAAACACCAAAAUAGGAAAAACGCCACUGUAAAGCAGGGGUUGGCAACCUUUUGUGUGGAGUGCCAAUUUACAAUUUAUCCUACCAUCCAGGCUGCAUCACAUCCGGCUGUGAUUGGGAGUCCCAUAGGGACGUGCACAAUUGGCCCAGCAUCGUCCAGACUUAGCAUCGUCCAGAGUAGGCCGUCAUUGUAAAUAAGAAUUUGUUCUGAACUGACUUGUCUAGUUAAAUAAAGGUUACAUUUAUUAAAAUUAAAUGUAAAAUCAAAAAAUAUAUAAUGAUCUGCGCGCCAGUUAUGAUUUUCAUAUGUGCAUUACAACUAAUUGCCCACAAACGGAAGAAUUCAAUAACUCGCUAAACAGAGGCGAUUUCCAUUAGCACCACCGGCUUGAUCUUGUGACACGGAUUCUCUUGGUGAAUGACACCGAGACAUUUAUCCAUGCAGUGGCCAAUCUUAUCUUCAAUCAGCUAUACAAAUCCUUUAUGUUUCCCCACCACAGCAGGGGCAAGGUCAGUUGUGAUAGCGAAUAUGUUUUUAAUAUCAACACCUCUCUCCUCAAAAUGAUCUGUGAAGGCUUUUGCUACAUCUUCUCCUUCAGUAAUACCAUGCAAGGGUUAUAGACAAAGCAGCUCCUCACGUACCUGCUCUGAGUCACAGUAUCUUCCAACAACUGCCAGACAUGGAAUGUCAUUCACAUCCUCACUCUCAUCAAGAGCCACACUAAACACAGGUGCAUCUUUUAAUGCUAGUUUGCUGCGCCUUUACAUUUUCAACCAUCUUGUUAAUGCACCUUUCAACAGUUAUGGCAGACACAGGCAUGUCUUUUAUCUUUGAGAUGAUUGUGUCUUUGUUAGGCCAUCCAUCAAAUAAAGCCAGCAAAAUACUGAGGAAAGGUUGCUUGAUAUAUUCCCCAUUAGUAAAUGGUUUUCGAUGUUUAGCAAUGCACUGUGCAACUUUAUAGCUCCCCUCUGUAUCUUGAUUUUUGACUGCAUGUAGAAAUCUAAACACACCUCGUCCUUUAAGUUUUUCCCAUGUCUCGUUUCAAAAUAAUGCCGUACACUUCAUGUCCGACAAACAACAGUUUUACAACAGAGAGCGCAAACAGACUGAUCCUUCGGUAAAACAAAUCCAUAUUCCUUUGAUCAAGAGGCAAAAGUUAGCGGACAUCUGCCUUAUUUUUCUUAGCUGAUGACGUUUUCCACCAUGAACAUUUUUUAAAUAACGUGCUUGCCAUGUGAAAACGACUCUCUCUUCUACAGCGCUGCCUUGGUUUUGAGGCUGAACUAAUAAAAUGAAACUGCUGCCAAAUCAUUUAACCCCAUUGGCUAAUCAGGUUUGACAUACCUUGGGAACUACAAUGUUGCAGUGAAUACCAAUGGGGGGUGCCCUCACGUGGGUGAGUAUACCCCGGGGUGGGGGGUGCCCUCACGUGCCAACGCUGGCACUCGUGCCUUAGGUUGCCGACCCCUGACAUACAGUAUAUAUCUAAUAUAAUUACAUACAGUAUAUCAUAAUUCUAUCUGUCAUAGUGGAUCUCUUUACCCAAAAAGCACAGUUAUACUAUUGCCUUUAAGUUGUAUUGAUGAACAAAUAUAACUACAUUUUUAUUUAAUAGUUUCCAGUACCAGUACCCAUCCUCUUGCAGUACACAUGCUCCUGCACUUAUACCCACAAGAUACAGACUCCCUGAUGCAGGACCUACAGGAGCUGAUGGGGAGUUUCACUGGGCCAGAUUAUCAUGUAACCCCAAAGGUUGUGCGAUGCAGAGAUUUGCCUGCCCAGGCAUCUUCUCUGUGCUGCAUGUGACAUAGCCACCCAUAGCACCAAGGUUUUGCACGACAAUGGAGUCUCUGUUUGAAGGGUCAUUUCGCCCCUUGUCCUCAAUCACCGUAAUUCAUCAGGAUGAUUAGGGGUCCCUUAACUUCCAGGAGCUGAAGGGCACUACAACCCGUCCCUUCCUGCUCUGAAUUGCUCCGGAUAUCUGAGACAUUUGACAGUAGGGAUAGACGAAGUUGUAAAGAGUGGCCACUGGCCAGCUACCGUGACUCACCAGACCAUCUUCACAAUGGACCUCUUCAAGUCCUUUGAAGACAUGAAGGUGUUGGCCCCAGGAUGCUCCCGUCAAGCCUUUGUGUGAGUUCUUGACAGAAGAACAAAGCCCUUUGGCAGGAGUGGAAAGAUAUGUGGGGACACAUUCCAGAAGGCAUUCCUCGAUUGGACGUACGGGCGGUUUGAAAUAAACUCAAUUUUCCUGCCUGCUCACAGGAGAUGCAUGCUGUAUCAGUGGAUGGGAAUUGCAAGCAAUACCGCUUCCACAAAGCUUCAGGGCGAAAGACGAUGAUGUCAUCCUUCAUCAAACGUCCAUACAAAGACCAACCAUAAUGUCAAAAGACUAAAGGAGGAGACUAGCUUCCUUGAAGAUAAGUGGGCAGAGCUGGACAUAAACGAAGCUGUGCUUCAGGAGUGGGUUGCUGAGGUCCAGCAGUGGCCUGAAACCAAUCUUCAGGAUAGUCAGACAGGGCAUCUCCAGAAGAAGAUUGAGGGGCUUUACCUCAUUGUGAAACAGAGGAAACACUACCUCUACUGUUUGACAGACGGCAACAAGAGAAGGCAUCAGAUUCUGAGAAAAAUUGUUGAGGACAAGGCAGCCUUGACAACUGCCAUUGUUCAACUUCCCACACAGUAGGCAGAGUUUAGGCUCCCCACAGUGGAUGAGCUGCUCAAUACUGACAACUUUUGGUGGCCAUGGGAGAGACCUCGCACCAGUAAGUAUAUGAUUACAGAAGGUACAGUAUCUAUUGUGACUGAAAUUUUACCUUCAGUGUAGGCUACAAUCAUUGCUGUUGUUCUACUAUAUACCUCUGUGAGUUUACAUCUCACAGGCAACAGCCAUCUUGCCAUCAAAAAGGCAAUCUUCGACAGACUGAUGUUGGUGAACGGACUGCAAGGGAUUAGAGGAUCCUGGUGCAGGAGAUGAAGAGGCACUGGGGAGCCUACAAAGAGCAGCGGGAACUCUGGAGGCACUGUCCAUACAGCUGCAAAAUCAGAGUGAGUUGAGGCAAUGCAGUGGAGUUGUCAGAGGGAGGAAUCUUCCUCCUGAAGAGAUGAUUGAGUGAACUGACACAAGACCAAGACAACACCAGGAACACCUAUUAAAAGCUGAUUCUGGGAGAAGGGGCUAUUUUUAAUGACUCUGAUGCAAAUGAAAACUCAGAUGAAGAUAGAAGUCCUAUUGCUGAGAGCUCAGAUGGCGACUGCUAUGCUUUCUGAAAUCAUACACCAAACCGCCCUCGUUCUCUCGGACUCUCUCUCUCCCGCAGGAGAGGGGGAAGGCUGCCACCACCUCCUUCAUGAGCAGCCAGGGUUCCAACAUUGACCCCUGACCCCUUAUCUUCUGAACGCAUCCAGGGAAAUGUAUUUUGCCUGAUGAUGGUCUGGUGGAGAUUUGUUGCCAUGUUUCUUCUCCUCACCUCCUCCCCUUCCGGUCCUAGACCAUGGCGACAUCAUCAGCAACUCAGAAUGUUGGUUGAGGAUCUCUUUACUGAGGAAUGUGGUUGAGGAUCUCUUUACUGAGGAAUGUGGUUGUUCUUCAUGAUUAAAAAUAUCUAUAUAUUA